GCCAGGCAUGGUGGUGCAUGCCUGUAAUCCCAGCUACUUGGGAGGCUGAGGCAUGAGAAUCACUUGAACCCAGGAGGCGGAGGUUGCGGUGAGCUGAGAUCAAACCACUGCACUCCAGCCUGGGCGACAGAGUGAGACCCUGUCUCAA
rnacentral:SRP_RNA from 1 species